CCAUCAUUCACUACCAAUCUUCCCUUAUUCAUCUUUGCUGUUCUUCAGUUUAGUCUGAAGAUGUGGUAUGAAGGUGCAAAAAACAUGACUGAAGCAUUGAACACAGCAGUAAUUAUCAUUUCUGACAUACAGACUAACCUAAUGGACUCAGAGGGUCUUUUAUGAUUCUCCUACAUUCAAAGAAGGAGGAAAUGCAUUUUUGUACCAUCUUUGAACUGUAAUAAAACUGAAACUUUGGAUAGCAGAAGAAUAGAAACAUCUUAAACAAGCCUGGCAUAUAAACAUGGAGCAGGUGUAACAAUGGAAAUAAUGAAGAAGACAACUUUGGAAACAACAAUGCAGACUGUAGGAAACCAUGAACGUUGCACAACAAAUCACCCAGCAGGGAGUGGGUGGCAAACAAUGUGAAGCAGGUGCCUGAAAUUCCUUAAGCAAAGUAAAAAGAAAGGAGUCAAAUUAGCAGAUGGCAGAGGCAAUGCAGGGAAGUGUUAGUAGGUAAAAUGAACCAUUACAGGCAUGCAGCAAAACGAAAUAUGUGGAACAGUGUGAGGCUGUUAUCUGUGCAGUGGUUCACAUGAUAUCAGUGGGUUGUCUCCAUUUCUUUAAGGGCCUACCUCACCAUGAUGUGAAGAAAAUGCAAGAGUGUAUUUGCUCUGCUAUCACAUACUGACAAAAAUACUGGCUUCUGCCUCAAUGGGACUAGCAUAAAUAAAUGGAUUCCUUGUAGAAAUACACAUUUUAUAUAUUAUACCACCAAAUCCUUCUUAAUUUAAUAAUUUUUACUUUUAUAAAAUUAAAUAAUUUGAACCAUUUA